rnacentral:rRNA from 1 species
UCCCAGACUCCUACGGGAGGCAGCAGUGAGGAAUAUUGGUCAAUGGGCGCGAGCCUGAACCAGCCAAGUCGCGUGAGGGAGGACGGCCCUACGGGUUGUAAACCUCUUUUGCCGGGGAGCAACGGGCGUCACGUGUGGCGCCACUGAGAGUACCCGGAGAAAAAGCAUCGGCUAACUCCGUGCCAGCAGCCGCGGUAAUACGUAGGGAGCGAGCGUUGUCCGGAAUUACUGGGUGUAAAGGGAGCGUAGGCGGGAUUGCAAGUUGGAUGUGAAAACUGCGGGCUCAACCCGGAGCGUGCAUUCAAAACUGCGAUUCUUGAGUGAAGUAGAGGCAAGCGGAAUUCCUAGUGUAGCGGUGAAAUGCGUAGAUAUUAGGAGGAACACCAGUGGCGAAGGCGGCUUGCUGGGCUUUUACUGACGCUGAGGCUCGAAAGUGUGGGGAGCAAACAGGAUUAGAUACCCUCGUAG